rnacentral:lncRNA from 1 species
UUUCAUGGGUCCAUUUCCACUUUCCUUUGGUCAAGAGUAUAUUCUUCUCGCAGUAGAUUAUGUGUCUAAGUGGGUUGAAGCCAUUGCCACACCAACAAAUGAUGCAAAGGUGGUGUUGAAAUUUUUACAGAAAAACAUCUUCACUCGGUUUGGCACGCCUAGAGCAAUCGUAAGCGACGGAGGUACACACUUCUGUAACAAGCUGUUCAAUUCUCUUCUAGCUAAGUAUGAUGUCAAGCACAAGUUGGCAUUGGGUUAUCGUCCACAUUCAAAUGGGCAAGCAAAGGUGUCUAACAGAGAGAUUAAACAGAUUCUGGAAAAGACAGUGAAUACCAAUCGGAAGGACUGGUCUCUCAAACUAGAUGACGCUCUUUGGGCAUACCGAACAGCAUUUAAAACUCCAAUUGGAAUGUCACCCUACCGUCUGGUAUUUGGGAAAGCUUGUCAUCUACCGGUAGAAUUGGAGCAUCGAGCUUAUUGGGCUGUGAAGAAAUUGAAUUUAGACAUGAAAUUGGCCGGUCCAUAACGCUUGUUGCAACUUGAUGAGUUGGAGGAAUUCCGGAACGAUGCAUAUGAAAAUGCAAAGAUAUAUAAAGAACGAACAAAGAUGUGGCAUGACAAGAGAAUACUAAGGAGGGAUUUCAAGGCAGGAGAACCAGUUCUUCUAUUCAAUUCUCGCUUGAAACUCUUUCCAGG